GUCUCAGUUCGGAUUGAAGGCUGAAAUUCGCCUUCAUGAAGCCGGAAUUGCUAGUAAUGGCAGGUCAGCAUACUGCCGUGAAUACGUUCCCGGGCCUUGUACACACCGCCCGUCACACCAUGAGAGUUGGGAAUACCCGAAGCCUGUGAGCUAACUUUUAGAGGCAGCAGCCGAAGGUAGAAUCAAUGAUUGGGGUGAAGUCGUAACAAGGUAGC
rnacentral:rRNA from 1 species